GUAAGAUUAUGCAUGUUAUAAACAGACUAGUUGCAGGUAAUUUCUGUUAACCAUAGUUUAUAUCAUGGCAUUCACCCUCAGACAUACAUAGAUUAGGGUACUUAAUACUAGACUGCUAAUCACGGGUUCAACACAGGCUAAACAAGCUGCGAGGGGUUAAUAAAACUAGUGCAGGUAUAAGUGCUGCAAUACGAGGUGAGUUGCGUAUGUAGGGUUAUAACAGUUGCUGACAUAACAAAA